rnacentral:rRNA from 1 species
CAGUAGCCGCGGUAAUACGGAGGGUGCAAGCGUUAAUCGGAAUUACUGGGCGUAAAGCGUGCGUAGGCGGUUCGUUAAGUCUGUUGUGAAAGCCCCGGGCUCAACCUGGGAAUGGCAAUGGAUACUGGCGAGCUAGAGUGUGUCAGAGGAUGGUGGAAUUCCCGGUGUAGCGGUGAAAUGCGUAGAGAUCGGGAGGAACAUCAGUGGCGAAGGCGGCCAUCUGGGACAACACUGACGCUGAGGCACGAAAGCGUGGGGAGCAAACAGGAUUAGAUACCCGGGUAGUCCCUGUCUCUUAUAC